CUAGAGCUAAUACAUGCAAAUAGAGUUCCGACCAGAGAUGGAAGGAAUGCUUUUAUUAGAUCAAAACCAAUCGGUGGCGGGCUUGCCUUGCUCACCGUUUGACUUGGUGACUCUGAAUAACUUUGUGCUGAUCGCACGGUCUAGUACCGGCGACGCAUCUUUCAAAUGUCUGCCUUAUCAACUGUCGAUGGUAGUUUCUGCGACUACCAUGGUUGUUACGGGUAACGGGGAAUCAGGGUUCGAUUCCGGAGAGGGAGCCUGAGAAACGGCUACCACAUCCAAGGAAGGCAGCAGGCGCGCAAAUUACCCACUCCCGGCACGGGGAGGUAGUGACGAAAAAUAACGAUACGGGACUCAUCCGAGGCCCCGUAAUCGGAAUGAGUACACUUUAAAUCCUUUAACGAGGAUCUAUUAGAGGGCCAGUCUGGUGCCAGCAGCCGCGGUAAUUCCAGCUCUAAUAGCGUAUAUUAAAGUUGUUGCGGUUAAAAAGCUCGUAGUUGAAUCUGUGUCCCACACUGUCGGUUCACCGCUCGCGGUGUUCAACUGGCAUGUCUGUGGGACGUCCUACCGGUGGGCUUAGCCCGUCAAAAGGCGGCCCAACUCAAAAUCCUACCACGGUGCUCUUCACCGAGUGUCGAGGUGGGCCGGUACGUUUACUUUGAACAAAUUAGAGUGCUUAAAGCAGGCUCAUUCGCCUGAAUAUUGUGUGCAUGGAAUAAUGGAAUAGGACCUCGGUUCUAUUUUGUUGG
rnacentral:rRNA from 1 species